UCCUUGUAUCACACUACCUUCUGCCCUAUUUCAGGUGAAAAGGUGAAGCUCUUUUGCUUCCGAUCUCUUGCUAACUUAUUCAUCUAUUGAUCUCAGCCUUUAUGCCCCACACUUGAGGUUUCCUCCCUUAUGAUAUUGCCUAUGAACUACAAAUAGCAACACAUAUUCUAAACUGCCUUUAAGGUUUUCUAAAUACUAAAAGCAAAAUAAGAAAAGAUCAAAGGCAUCAUCCCAUGGAGCUUUCUUUUCUCCUUAAAUUUGAAAAGUUAAAACAUGCAAGUGAUAUUGAAAGGCAUAUAAUGAGCUUUACGGAACCAACCUACUCACAUGAAUAUCAUAGAAUAUUAUUUGCACCCAAUGAGUGCUUGGAUGGAUAGCAAAAACCAUAACAAAUGAUGCAAAAAGGAUUGGCUAAGUAGAACAUACGAAUCUAACCAUCAUAAAAUUUAUCCCAUGUGUGUCAAAAAUCUAGAUCUUUCUCUAAAUCAAGAAAAAAUACGAUACAGAAAAUAUACAACAAUAAUAUGGAGUAAAAAGAUAAAAAAUCACAUUAAUAGUUAUAAAUUCUCUUUAUUUUAUACUA
rnacentral:lncRNA from 1 species